rnacentral:lncRNA from 1 species
UACUCGGGGGCUUGUCAGCCAGACAUUUAUGGGCCCACCAGGAGGCUUGGACAGUCCUAGAAUAACGGGGUUGUACACCAAGAUGUGUCCGACAUGAAGACUAUGGUGCAGGACGGCGUGGUCUACGUGGCGGACAGGGACUAGUUGAGGAUUAGGAAACUACUCGUAGCAAUUAGAGUAGGACUCUCUAGUCGAAUCAGACUAGUACUCUUGUACAACAACCGACCUAUAACCCUGCCCCCGGCAAUAUAAGGCAAGGUAGGGACCCCCUCCAAACAAUCAUCAAUCAAUACAAACCAACCAGCAUAUAGGACGUAGGGUAUUACGCGACAUAAGCGGCCUGAACCUGUCUAAAUGGUGUGUUCGAGUUCACCUUCGAGUUCCUGAGCUUCGGCGAGCCCCAUGCACAAAACACUACCUCUUGUACCCCCUCGAUAGGUUGUCGGGUCUAAACACCACCACUUUGUUCUAACUAAAAAAAU